AUACGAUAAUUGUACAUUUAGUAACAGUUAGUGUAUUAAUGCUUAAGUAAUAAGUAAGACUUACGAGUAUUAUAGAGGAAUCGCUGUACCGUAUAAAUAUACAGGAAUCGCUGUACAAAAAAUGACCAAAUAAGUAUACGCCAGAAUUUACGAAACAUUAGUUUUUAUGAGAGCAUCGUUUUUUUCCCAAACAAUUCAAGCCAUACUUUACCAGUUUUACAUACGGAGAAUGUGGGAAUAUUGCACUGCAGCGAUGAUACUGAGACAAUCAGCAUAUGACGUGCAUAAUAUCAUUUUCCCGUCAAAAAGUGAGCAUUUUCGCCCGUCAAAAAACUGAAAAAAGCUCGCAAGCAUUUCCGCCCGGCAAAUGUGCUCACAGCGUGAAUUGUGCACAUGUUAACAUUCUUGCCGGCUAUAUAUGUAGAUCAUUAUAUACAACUUGCUAACUAUUAUUUCUUUUCGACAAAGUUCUUUUAUACGAGUGCAAUGUUUUAUUUCAAAUUUCUGCUGCUUCUGCAGUCCGCGGACGACAAUCCGUGGAUGCGGAAUACUGAUCAACGAUAAAAAUUGCGCAAGUUUCCACCCUUGUAAUACGUAAACCAAUACAAACCACACUUAAGUUAUUCAUCGAUAUAAUCGCUUUAAAAUCGUUUUUUAAAAAUAAGUUUGAAAGGAUUCGGAUUAAUAGUUACUGCAACAUGGACGUUCGACGACGAUACACUUCCGCCUUCUGGAAUAAUUAAAUCGAACUUAUGCAAGAUAUUGGUAAAUAUUAAGAACAGUUCCAUUUGUGCCAGUGAUUCUCCUAAACAUGCGCGCUUCCCUGUAAUAAAAAAAACAGAGACCGUAGAAUAACGAACUAUGCAAUUUUUAUAAGUACACGUAGCAUUGCAUUGCGGUAACAAAAAUCAGACCGUUCGCCACAGGCUACGCCCGCUUUUAUCAAAUAUACAUAUAAAAAUGUUACAAGUACGAGUAAGUAUUCUGUAAAGCCAUUAUUAGCCAUACCGACAGAGAAAGGUAUAACAUAAGGCGAUUUGACGAAUUUUCCAUUGCUAUCCAAAAAUCGGGAUGGGUCAAAAACAUCAGGUGCCUUAAAGAUAUUAGGAUUGCGGUGUGCAGCAUAAAGAUUGGAGAUGACCAGUGUAUUUUUUGGCAAGGUGUAAUUAUCUAACUGGAUUGGUUCCGUUGUGCGAUGAAACACGCCAAUGGGCGCUACUGACUCCAUCCGCAAUAGUUCCAGCAGCGUCGCUUCCGUAAACGUAAUCCGACCGGACGUACCGCGGUGUUCUAUCCGGACGGAUGCGGAUUGGCCAACUACAUUGUCCAACUCUGAUUGAAUUCGCCUCAUAAUUUCUGGAUUUUGUACCAUAUGCAGAAAUCCCAACAGCAGGGUGGAUGAAGUGGUUUCCGUGCCGGCCACGAACAUGUUGGCUACGCUGACCUUUAGUUGCUUCGCUAUAAGGCACCAACAUAAUGUAAUUACGAAGAACUACCUUCAAAGGUUGUUUGGACUUUUUUCUCCUUAUGCCGAUCGGAUUCUCUGAGAAAAGCGUUAACAUAAUCCGGACUGUCGAUGCCGCGUGUUUUACUAGUCUCUUGUAUCAUUUUUUCCAUAUGAUCAAAGAAGAAAUCAUCUUCCGCUUUCAUACGCAGGUAGCCUUUACGGAAGAAGGGCAAAUGUUUCAGCGAUGGAAACAGUACCAAUAGGUUGGAUUGGCCGAAUUGUUUAAUACUCUCUCGCAGGACAUGCAGAAGUCCGCGGAAUUCUUCAUCAUCGUACGCGAAGCGUUUACCAAACACCGCGGCACAGAUUAUAUUGGAGACUGCGUUGGUAAUUAAAUGUGUCGGGUCGAAUGGCUGUUCCUGCUGAUCGGUAAGUGUUUUCGCCACCACUUCCACUUCAUCGAGAAUCUGAUCUUGUAGCCAGGAUUUGCCCAUCCCCAGAUCGCGCAGAGUGGACAAGGCGAAACGCCGGUGUUCUUUCCACAAUUCCCCAUCGGCCAUAAUUAAUCCUACAAAAUUAAUUAUGAAAAUGCAUAGCGCAUCUAAUCGUAAAUAUGUACCAUAGCGUAGCAUAUACGAUAAUUGUACAUUAAGUAACAGUUAGUGUAUUAAUGCUUAAGUAAUAAAACAUAUUCAAAUAUUUCGCUAAUUAUAAUGUGACUGCAUUCUCAUACGGCUAAAAAUAAAUUCAUGACAAAAUGUAGUUGUAGCAAAUAGAAACAUGCAGCACUCUUUUUGCAUUAUAUGUAUGUACAGAGUACCAGUCUACCAGUAAAAAUUUUCCUAGCUGAAAUUAUACUCCACACUUGCCUUUUCCGUCGGUGAAUUCAUCGAUAAUCGUUCCUUUAAUUCUCCCUGAACAUCCAUCUUGAGCGUAGGCUUUUUUAAUGCUCUCAUAAUCAUUGAGUACGACGCACAGAUCCGAAGCAAAAUAAAUGCGAAAUAUUGGUCCGUAUUUCUCCGCCAUCUUCAUUAAGGUGACAUGAGGGAUCAUUCCUAACUGCGGUAGAUUGCCCAAAAUGGGCCAAGCUGCAAAAAAAAUUUCAAUUAAAACUAAAAUGUUUGCGAUUUAUAUUUACUGUAUGUAUUGAUGUAUCAAAUGCAAUACACUCUGACUUCACAAUGAAAAGAAUUUCUGCAGAUAUACUGUGUUUUUAAUUCGUAAGCACCGGUCCAUGUAUUGGAUUGCAUGGAUACGGUAAGUGUGUAUCGUACACAAUUGCACAUUAUAGUAUCACCAAUCAUGUAUAAUUUAUAAUCAUGUAUAAUGUAUAAUUAUUAUGUUAUCAUGUAUAAUUUAUUAUCAUGUAUAAUGUAUAAUUCCAAAAAAGCUUCUAUCCCUAUCAUUUACAUUAAAGUAUAUUAUUAAGCAUAACCGCGUGCUUACCAGGGGGACCCGGAGGAAGAUUUCGAAGGGAACUACUAAACCGGUACCAUAAAGCCAGAAGCAGUGGAAUAGCGAUGGCCAAAACUAACGUAGCGUUUAUACCCGGCUGCUCGGAUGUCGUCGUUGUCGGAUCGGAACUCACAUUGAUUUUUGUCAUUUCUGAUACCUGCUAACAAUUUUCUGCAUGCAAAACUGGUCAAGACCAACGUACAAUAGUCAAUUAAAUGGUUGAGUAACUGCAAAACAACUGCAGCUAAGUUGUAAAACUCAAAAGGCGGCUCGCGAC